ensembl:lncRNA
GUCCUACUCUGCAACCCUGUGGACUGUAGCCUGCCAGGCUCCUCUGUCCAUGGGAUUAUCUAGGCAAGAAUACUGGAGUGAGUUGCCAUUUCCUCCUCCAGAGGAUCUUCCCAAGCUGGAAUUGAAUCCACAUCUCUUACGUCUCCUACAUUGGCAGGAGGGUUCUUUACCAUUAGCGCCACCCUCAUUUGCCCCCAAACAUGCCGUAGUCCUCUUCGUAGCUGUAGAGAAAGCCUGGAGGGGAUGGAAGCACCCAGGGCACCUACAGCCAGGAAGCAGGUGCCUCCAGGGCCAACCCCAAAACUGCUUUCACUAGCACCUGUUCAUUUCUACUGAGCAUGGAACCCUGGGGACGCCUGGCCAUGAGGCAGGAGAACUUGCACCAAAGAAGAGCUUCAGUAGUCAGAGAAGAAAGCUACAAGGAGAAGAUGCUGAGCUGGAAUGGAGGAGUCAUAAGAGCCCUGGAUCUUAUCUUAGUUUCCCAGCCUGCACUUGAGCAACUUAAGAACUAUCGGGCCAAAGAAGAAUUCAACGUUUGGCCAUGUUAAUAGAAGCACAUGACCCAGGUCAAAGGAGGAGAGUCCCACCUGCAUUUCCUGGCCUGCCCUGGGCUGGGAGGUGUAAUUUAAGAAGGGCAAUGACAAACCAGGCUCCAUGCAGAGGCCUCUGGCAGCCACAGAACGUGACUGUGACUCAGGCUGGAGUGAAACAUCUGGCAUCUGAAAGGCUUCCUGUGGAGUCGGAGGGCAGGGCAGGUCUAGUUGUAGUGGACGGGAGUCAGAAAGACUUAGAUGAAGGAAGUGCGGAAGAGAAGCAAACAUUUUCUGCCCACCAACUGUGAGGUCAACAGAACAGGUUGUCUUCUGAGGCUGACAGUACAGCGGAAAGGGCCGGGUUAAUCUAGACCGAGUCCUCCAGCGUUCACUUUCCUCCAAGAUGCCCUAUUUAGAAGUGUAGUGUUAGUCGCUCAGUCGUUGCUGACUCUUUGCAACCCCACAGACUGUAGCCCACCAGGCUCCUCUGUCCAUGGAAUUCUCCAGGCAAGAAUUCUGGAGUGGGUUGCCAUCUCCUCCUCCAGGGGAUCUUCCUGACCCAGGGAUUGAACCUAGGUCUCCCUCAUUGCAGGUGGACUCUUUACCAUCUGAGCCACCAGGGAAGCCUGGACCAGAGUCCUCCAGGGUUCACUUAGCUCCGAGAUGCCCUAUUUAAUAAGAGACUAAGGCCCAGAUGUGCACUAUGCCCUCCCUGAAGGUCACACCCCGUCCGCAGAGGAAGUUAAGAGCAGGCCUCAGCGGCCU